UGGGUUGACACGAUUGCAUACCAAAUAUUGUAAUAUGCGCACGCAGCGUCUACGUCUAAUAGCAUAGAUCUCUUCCGCAAAACAAAUGCAUCAAGGACGAAGUUAGCUGACAGGACAACCAAGGGUUUAACAUUUUGACGCGAAAUCUACAAAGCCCGUAUGCAUGAUCGAUGGCACCACAAAACAGUCACAAAGAGGUGGCAUUUUAGAAGACAGGGCGGACCCGCACAUUGAGAAUGGCCAUUCUGGAAUUUCGUUCGUCGCAGGAGAAGAGGUGUUCGCCCAUUCAAUCAGCUUCCUAAGCGACAGAAGCUUCUGCUUGUAAAUUAAAACGUAAUAUGACAACUUUCAUUACCUUAAUUCAAGAGCAAAAAAGCAUUUGGCAUUUCAGUCUUCAACGAUUCUGGUACGAGGGGAAUGAUCGCUACAUUCCAUUGGAGCAAGUGCAGAGGGAAAAAUUGAUAUUGGCUUUUGAGUGAUAUUUAAUGGUAUUCACUUUAAAAUCGAGGGCGUUCGGGAUAUUUCGAUAAAACUCUCCAAACACCCUUCAAAACAUGAAGAAAGUAUCUAUGAUUUAUGGGAAAUGCAAUAGCUUUCAAGAUUUGGGAUGCUCGUAAAAGAAAAUUCAAAAGUUGGGUGAUAUACAUAUUAAACUGUUUGGUAACGAUGUCUGACACAAGACAAGAAAAACAUUCGACGACAUUGAUCUUAUAAAGCAUGAAUCAAAAACCA